GCGAUCCCAGGUCAGGCGGGGCUACCCGCUGAGUUUAAGCAUAUCAAUAAGCGGAGGAAAAGAAACUAACGAGGAUUCCCUUAGUAGCGGCGAGCGAACCGGGAGGAGCCCAGCAUGAAAAUCGUUCGCCGUCGGCGGCCGAAUUGUAGUCUGGAGAAGCGUCCUCAGUGACGGACCGGACCCAAGUUCACUGGAAGGUGGCGCCGGAAAGGGUGAGAGCCCCGUCGUGCCCGGACCC
rnacentral:rRNA from 1 species